UUGAAUUGAACUUUAUCUUCUCGUCUAGAAUCAGGUAAGGUGCGGUGGUGUGUGACAUUCUUCUACGGGUCUCUGCUACUAAGUAUGGGCUCCUCUGAUGCACAAGGCUGGACAUGUGGUUUAUUUCAGUGUUUAAUCAUACUCUCGUAUGCUUUGUGAUGGUGGACUGUGCCACUGGGGAGUUUCUCUACAUAAUUUUGCCAUGUUAUUGAAAGUUGUUUCAGGUUCAAAGUAAGAGUUGCUGAUCUUCCUAGUGAGGCUAACUAAUUGGUGUCUUCUUUUUUCCUUGUAGAGGUUCUAUAAGAGAAAAGCUGCUAGCUAGCUCUACCAAUAUGAUUCACACAAGUCAUAGAAGAGAGAACGUUGAGCCAUUAUAAUGGCGACAAGAGAGCAAACAAGUCAGAGAGCGAGAGGUAUCCCAACAAGUUCGUGUUCUUCUAUAUCCUCUGCUUCAUCAUUUGUCUGAGUGAUGAGUUAAGAUAUGAGUACUAAAGAAUCAUUUUUUGUUCCAUUUGAGGUUGAUUAAAAGUCGUCUGAUACAGCUAUGGCAAGAAAACUAGUCACACAGUUAUCUCAAGCCAAAGGCAAUCAUCAAAAAAAGCUGUUUGGCUGCUCCAGCUUUGCCUGCAGUGCACGGCGCCAUCAAAGAAAUUAAAAAGUAAAGUCUGCUUCUUAGAAUUGAAUAU